GGAACGGUCUGGAAAGGCCGGCGCGACGGGUGACAGCCCCGUACGGGACGAUCGAACGUCAGGACUCGAGUAGGGCGGGACACGUGAAAUCCUGUCUGAACAUGGGGGGACCACCCUCCAAGCCUAAGUACUCCUCAGCGACCGAUAGCGAACAAGUACCGUGAGGGAAAGGUGAAAAGCACCCCGAUGAGGGGAGUGAAACAGUUCCUGAAACCGGAUGCUUACAAACAGUGGGAGCUCAAGGUUCGUCCUGAGUGACCGCGUACCUUUUGUAUAAUGGGUCAGCGACUUAAAGUAACGAGCGAGCUUAAGCCGAUAGGUGGAGGCGCAGCGAAAGCGAGUCUGAACAGGGCGUUCAGUUCGUGGCUUUAGACCCGAAACCGAGUGAUCUAGCCAUGUGCAGGAUGAAGGUGGGGUAACACCCACUGGAGGUCCGAACCAGUGCCCGUUGAAAAGGUCUUGGAUGACGUGUGGCUAGGGGUGAAAGGCCAAUCAAACUCGGAGAUAGCUGGUUCUCCGCGAAAUCUAUUGAGGU
rnacentral:rRNA from 15 species